UACGUAGGUGGCAAGCGUUGUCCGGAUUUACUGGGCGUAAAGAGCGCGCAGGCGGUCGUGCAAGUCGCGUGUGAAAGCCCCCGGCUCAACUGGGGAGGGUCACUCGAUACUGAUCGACUCGAAGGCAGAAGAGGGAAGCGGAAUUCCCGGUGUAGUGGUGAAAUGCGUAGAUAUCGGGAGGAACACCAGUGGCGAAGGCGGCUUUCUGGUCUGCUCUUGACGCUGAGGCGCGAAAGCUAGGGUAGCAAACGGG
rnacentral:rRNA from 1 species